rnacentral:lncRNA from 10 species
AAAGAAAUAAGCGCUGGAUGACAUGUGGCAGAUUUUCCAACUCUCCAGGAAAAACUUCAGAUCAACUUGUUUCUCUGGAAACUACUCACAUCCGGGGGCUGUCCCUGUCCCCUGGGACUCAUAAACGUUCCUAUCUUCAAGGCACAGAUACUGGUUGCAUUUUGCCUCUGCCCUAGAGAUUUGUGGAACUUCGAACUUGAGAGAGAUGAUUUACAGUACCUGGUGGAAGAAAUUUCAAAGCAGCAAAGCUUUCAAGAGGUGACUUGGGUGCUGUUAAAGUCAUUCAGUUUUAAAGGAAAACAGAGCAUAAAAGUUUGGAAAAUUUGCAGCCUGACAAUGAGAUAGAAGAGAAAAUUCCAUUUUCUGAGGAGAAAUUCAAGCCAGCUGCAGAAAUUUGCAAAAGUAAUGAGGAGCUGAAUGUUAAUCACCAAGACAAUAGGGAAAAUGUCUCCAGCGUGUGUCAGAGACCUUUGUGACAACCCCUCCCUUCACAGGCCAGGAGGUUUAGGAGGAAUAAACGUCUUAAAUAUUGGGUCAGGCCCAUGGUCCCUCCACUGUGUGCAGACUAGAGACUUGGUGCCCUGAAUCCUAGCCACUCUAGUCAUGAAUAAAAGGGGCCAAAGUACAGCUUGGGCUAUUGCUUCAGAGGGUGCAAGCCCCAAGUCUUGGUAGGUUCCACAUGGUGUUGAGCCUUCGGGUGCACAAAAGUCAAGAACUGAGGUUUGGUUACCUCUGCCUAGAUUUUGGAUGAUGCAUGGAAACGCCUGGAUGCCCAGGCAGAAGUUUGCUGCAGGGGCAGAGCCCUCAUGGGGAACUUCUGGUAAGGCAAUGAGGAAGGGAAAUGUGGGAUCAGAGCCACCACACAGAGUCCCUAAUGGGCACCACCUAGUGGAGCUGUGAGAAGAGGGCUACCGUCCUCCAAACCCAGACCCCAGAAUGGUAGAUCCAUCGGCAGCUUGCACCGUGCACCUGGAACAGCCAUCAACACUCAAUGCCAGCCUGUGAAAGCAGCUGGGAGGGAGGCUGUACCCUGCAAUGCCACAGGGGCAGAACUGCACAAGACCAUGGGAACCCAUCUCUUGCAUUAGCGUGACCUAGAUGUGAGACAUGGAAUCAAAGGAGAUCAUUUGGAGCUCCAAGAUUUGACUGCUGGAUUUUGGACUUGCAUGGGGCCUGUGGCCCUCUGUUUUGGCCAAUUUCUCCCAUUUGGAAUGGCUGUAUUUACCCAAUGCCUGUACCCCCAUUGUAUCUAGGAAGUAACUAACUUGCUUUCGAUUUUACAGGCUCAUAGGUGGAAGGGAAUUACCUUAUCUCAGAUGAGACUUUGGACUGUGGACUUUUGAGUUAAUGCUGUAAUGAGUUAAGACUUUGGGGGACUAUUGGGAAAGCAUGAUUGGUUUUGAAAUGUGAAAACAUGAGAUUUGGGAGGAGCCAGAGGCAGAAUGAUAUGACUUGGCUCUGUGUCCCCACCCAAAUCUCAUCUUGUAGCUCCCCUGCUUCCCAUGUGUUGUGGGAGGGACCCAGUGGGAGAUGAUUGAAUCAUUGGGGCUGGUCUUUUUCUGUGCUGUUCUUGUGGUGGUGAAUGCAUCUCAUGAGAUUUGAUGGUUUUGAAAAUGGGAGUUCUCUUCACAAGCUCUUUUUUUGCCUGCUGCCAUCCAUGUAAGACGUGACUUGUUCCUCCUUGCCUUCCACCGUGAUUGUGAGACCUCCCCAGCCACGUGGAACUGUGAGUCCAAUUAAACCUUUUUACUUUGUAAAUUGUCCAGUCUCGAGUAUGUCUUUAUCAGCAGUGUGAAAAUGAACUACCAUAAUAUGCAAACACACAAUUCAUGUUAUGCUCAGAUUCUUCCAUAGUCUAUCAAUAUCACUGACACAAAUUUAUGUUUCCAAAACAAGACUUAGAGCAGGACUGGCUGUGUAUCUAUUAGUGGCUAUUCAUGGGCAGGGCAAGUCAUGAACCACUGUACUUGUUCCAAGUCACCUAGCUGGUCAUUGGCAAAGCCAGGGCUGCAACCUAGCUCUCUAGAUGAAGAGCUGAACUAUCUUACCAGGCCACUAUGCUAUCAUAUCUGUUUGUGAAUACAAGGGAUAAAGUGCAGAACAUGGAAGUGCUUUGAAAGGUAUAAAGUGAUCAAUGUUAUAUGCAACUAGAAAGGCUAUGAGUCUUUUAUUUUGUUCUCUAUGACAAGAGAACAAUAUUUCCACUCUGUUUCUUGUUAUAAAUAACUUUGCCUAAUCCUCUAGAAAAGCAAGUAAGCAGAAACAAGUUAACUAAACCUUAGGUCAAGAGGGAAAUGGGAAGAACUAGCAAAAGGAGAUAAUAACUCUCAGGGAUGGAAGCACCUAGCCAAUUGGAAGGGUGUGAAAAAGCGUGGAAAUAGAAAAUGGGACUGACAAAAUGUACCUUUUCUCUUACAAAUUAACUUGUGUCUUUGUGACGACAGCAUGUUUGGGUCAAGAGUUCUUGACUUUUGAAAUAUAUCAAAAUUCUUAAGGAGAAAGUUUUAUAAAAAUAGAGGUGUUUUUUUUGUGUGUGUGUAUAUGUGUGUGUGUAUAUAUGUGUGUGUGUGUAUACAUAUAUAUAUAUAUAUAUUUUUUUUUUUUUUUUUUUGAGACAGAGUUUUGCUCUUGUUGCCCAGGCUGGAGUGCAAUGGCGCGAUCUUGGCUCAUUGCAAUCUCCACCUCCCGGGUUCAAGCAAUUCUCCUGCCUCAGCCCCCCAAAUAGCUGGGAUUACAGGCAUAAGCCACCAGUCCUGGCUAAUUUUGUAUUUUUAGUAGAGAUGGGGUUUCUCCAUGUUGGUCAAGCUGGUCUCUAAAUCCCGACCUCAGGUGAUCCGCCCACCUCGGCCUCCUGAAUUGCUGGUGUUAAAGGUGUCAGCCACUGAGCCCAGCACAUAAAUACAUAUAUUUAUUAAGAGAAGGUGGUUCAUGUGAUUAUGGAGGCUGAGAAGUCUCACAAUUUGUUGUCUGUAAGUUAGAAACCCAGGAAAUCUGGUGAUGAAUACAGAUUGGAUCAGAGAACCGGGGAGCAGAUGGUGUGAAUCCCACCUGGAAAGCCAGAGAAGAUGAGAUGAAAUGAGACAUCACAGCUCAGCAGUGAGGAAAGACAAACUGGGUGAAUUCCUCCUUUCUCCACCUUUGGUUGGUUUCAGGCCCUCAAAAGACUGGAUGAUUCCCAAACACACUGGAGAGGACAAUCCACUUUACUGAGUCCGCUGCUUCAAAUGCUAAUCUCGUCUAGAAAUACCCUCACAGACACACUUAGAAAUAAUGUUUCAUCCAGACACCCCUUGGCCAGUCAAGUUGCCACAUAGAAUUAACCAUCAUACUCAGUACUACUCAUUUAGAAUUUCUGAUAAUAGGGCACAAGUAUGUGUAUUUGUUAGGGCCAAGUGGCUUUGUUGAGCCUUUUGAGAAAAUAACUAUGAGAAGGGGAGAUUUUGUAACCUGAAGACCAUCACUUAGCCCUAAGGAAGACUACCUCAUUUAUUGGCCUAAAAUCAGAAUUGAUGAAUGGUCUGUUGAUCAUGAUUGCAAAUAUGUCUCUAGUGGUCAGAGUAUAUACCAAUGACUUUUUUUAAAAAUGCAGUUCCUUGUUAAAUGUUAAAUGCAGCUCCUUCCAUAACUCCCUUCCUAUCCAUGGAAAAGGAAGCUAUGGCAGGAACUGCAUUUAACAUUUAACAAGAAUAUAUUUCUGUAUAUAUCCAGAAGUAUAUCCAUAUACUACACUACAGAUAUGUUUCUCUUUUCCCCACAGUCAACCAUUUUAGUAGGCUCAGUUGGGGUACUUUUAUUUGAAUGUGUUACUGAGUUUGUACAUUUUAAAUUUUUAUAGAUGAUAUUGUUAUACUGCUUAUUCUUCUUCCAGUGUUUUCCACUAGGUCCUGUAUUAUUAAAAUCCAGUCAGAUUGCUUUAUAGUCAGUUAAUCCAUUGCUUCUACUAAUGAUUUCAAUGGUGUGUCUAUAUGGUAAAUUUCAGUAGUUGAUCCAGAUCUGUAUCUCUUCCUGUAUUUAUGCCCUUUGCUAAGUAAAUUUUCAGGUCCCUCCCACGUGGACAGAGUGACCUGCCCCAUCCCUUGAAACUGGUCUUGGCCAUGUGAUUUGCUUUGUGAUAAAUGCUGACUUGAUAUAAGCAGAAGCUUAAAAAAGCAUUUGUGUGUUUCCACUAGUUCUUGUACCUCUGUCAUUGUAAUGAAAAGACAUACUCAGCUUAACCUACUGGUCCCAGGAAGAGGAUGAGCAAUAACGUGGAACAGAGCCAACCUAGACGUGUAUAAGUAAGCCAGCUGAACUGUGAAUGUAUGAGCAAGUCAGGCCCAGAUCAAUGGAAUCCCACAGAUGCAUGAGAAAUAAAUGCAUGCUAUUGAGAUUUUGUGGUUGUAUGCAACAUUAUUGUGGCAAUAACUAACCAAUAGACUGUACUAUGAGAAUUUGUAUUCUCUUGCUGAUUUUGAAUUCAGGAUGUCAAUUAUGGGAAGGCUAAUCAUUUGACUCAAGAAUAAAACAACUU